rnacentral:lncRNA from 1 species
AAGACCUGGAAUCCUGGGGGAAAAAAAGAGAAAAGAGCUGCUUCUGAGUGAAAUAGAAGGACAAGGGUGCCAAAUUAACUCCUCUCCACAAAGUGACCCCACGUGGAAAAGUACUUGAGAAGCUCUGUAAAGACGUGGUAAAAGCUUACCAAAGACAGUAGCAUUAUCCUUUCCUUACACACAAAGUGGAGGGAAAGCGUGGGUAAGUGGUGUGUCUAAAAGCAUUGCUUUAAAUUAUACAUCCAUUUGUAAACAUUCAUUUUUUCUUAACUACAUGUCGUUUGUAAAUUGGAC